GCUAGAUCGACAAUAUAGUUAUUUAAUGUUUAGAAGUAGGCUAAGUUCACAAUAAUAAUAAUAAUUAUUAUUAUUAUUAUUAUUAUUAUUAAGACAAUAACCGUAUACGUUUUGUUUUUAAAGCGGCUUGUUUUAUUUAUACAAUCAAAAAACAACAAUAAUCGUUGAAUAAUGAAUAGGCUUUUAGGGGUUUUCAACUAAAAUGUAUUAUGGAAAACGAUCCCGAUCGAGAAUGCUGGACACAAUAAGAAGUCAGCUGAGCGAUGAGGCUCGCCUAGGGUAGGAGUCGUGAAUCUCGCGACACUACAGCUCCGAUUAUAUUGCAGUACAAUGGUACCAUAUCUCCUCGGCUGGCAAAUAAUUAAACUUGUACUAGAAUUCAUCUUGAUUUGAAGGCUUAGUGGCUUCAAAUCGUGGUAAUGGAGAAAUGGAGAUGUCACGUGCGCACAGAACUCAUACAGCGAGACAGCUCACAGAAGGAUCCAUAUGCUGGCGUCUUCAGAAGUUGUAAGAUGUUUUGUUUUGUUGUGGCAGCAUUCUUGUGCUUUGAAUGAGCUACCUGAUGUGAAUCAGCUUAAAUUGUAUAGGAUUUGUUUACAUUGCGUUGUGUGCAAUAUUAAUUUGCAGUGUUUCAGCUGCAAGAUAAUUUUGAAAUUCGUCGAGAAAUUUGGGAAGAUCUGCAGAGCCAAAGGUUUGAAGAAAAAAAUAUCAGGAUCUUUCUAUUUAAAAUGUUCUGUUAGUUUUUUAAUUUCCAAACUUUUUUCAAACGGUAUUAAUUCCAGUUUAGAACAAGAUGGAAUAACAUUUGUGGAACUUCACCUCUGGUUAAGAGAGAGUGAACACCUGUCUAAAAAGUUGUCUCAGACCGUCUCUGACCUGACCAGUGUUUUGUAUUUCAAAGAGGCUGAGCUACAGUACUGGCAGUCUCAGGUAGCCCGUUUCCGUCGGGAGGCUCUGAGCCUGGCUGGAGGCAGCAACUCGCUGAAGGCCACCCUGAACCACCAGGAGUUCACCCUUGAGAGGCAGGCCAAGGAGCUGGCCGCCCUGCAGAAGGAGCACAUGCGCCUCCGGGAGGGGAUGGUGGAGGCCUGGAAGGAGAAAGGGGACCUCCUCCAGAGAUGGAUGGAGGAGAAGAAAGAGGAGGCGGCAAGGGUUAAUAAGUACAAUGACGCACAGGAAAGGUGGCGUCGGUUGGCCAGACGGCUGAAGAAACAACUUCGGGGAGAAACGGUCAAACCUUCGGAGCAGACGGAGAUUGACGUGACGAGUGGCGAAAAAGAAGCAGCAUUCAAACUAGAAUGAGUGACAGCAUUUAUUUUGUAACUUUUUUUCAUCUGUAACUAAUAUCGCUUAAAUAACUUGUUUUACAUUCGCAGUUUAAUGUGAGCACCAUUCCUAGAAGCACAAUCCGAACUCCACUUAAACAGCAACUAAAUAUGCACCUGAUGCAACUCUCUAUUGACUACAUUUAAUGUUGUUUAGAUGGACCGUUUUUAUUGAAUCAACAUGGGCAGGCAUCACUUGUGCAUCAAGCUUACAAACCAAACUAAUAAUUCAAGAUUAUAUGCACCUCCUGAUGACGUUGUAACAUGUUUGUGUUUGUGUAACCUUAUCGGAUUGGUUUUUAGUCCGAUAAGAUCUUAAAGUGAAUCAUGUUUUUUUUACUUUUUAGUGUGACUGACAAGCCUACAUUAUUAUAUUUUAAAAAGACUCGUGG
ensembl:lncRNA